rnacentral:rRNA from 1 species
CCUACGGGUGGCAGCAGUGAGGAAUAUUGGUCAAUGGACGAGAGUCUGAACCAGCCAAGUAGCGUGAAGGAUGACUGCCCUAUGGGUUGUAAACUUCUUUUAUAUGGGAAUAAAACGUUCCACGUGUGGGAUUUUGUAUGUACCAUCUGAAUAAGGAUCGGCUAACUCCGUGCCAGCAGCCGCGGUAAUACGGAGGAUCCGAGCGUUAUCCGGAUUUAUUGGGUUUAAAGGGAGCGUAGGUGGAUUGUUAAGUCAGUUGUGAAAGUUUGCGGCUCAACCGUAAAAUUGCAGUUGAAACUGGCAGUCUUGAGUACAGUAGAGGUGGGCGGAAUUCGUGGUGUAGCGGUGAAAUGCUUAGAUAUCACGAAGAACUCCGAUUGCGAAGGCAGUUCACUGGACUGCAACUGACACUGAGGCUCGAAAGUGUGGGUAUCAAACAGGAUUAGAUACCCCAGUAGUC